GUUUAGAACAUCAUAUACAAAACGGUGUGAAAAGUGAAAUGAAAUCAAAAUCGAAUAAUAGCAUGAACACAAAUGCAAGUAAUAACAUGAUGAUAAAUGCAAUUAACAGUAUUAACAAUAAUGAAGAUAUAAUAAAUAAAUCAAGUUUUGAAAAGGAAGAAAAUAAUAAUCAACAUGAACCCGCUAUAGGAGUAGUUAAAAAGAAAGUUGGAAGGCCUAAAGGAACAGGUUCAGCGAAGAAAGUAAUAAAAAAAAUAGAAAAAGUAUCGACAUCAUCAUCUGGAUAUCCAGGUGUCAGUUGGAAUAAAAGAAUGUGUGCAUGGCUAGCUUUUUUUUAUGAGGGAUCUUCAAGAAGAAGUAGAACAUUUCACCCGAAAUAUUUUAAUAUGGAUAAGGAAAAAGCGAAAUUAGCAGCAGUUGAUUUUAUGAAAUCAUUAGAGAAUAAUGGUCGAAAAAAAACUAUAAGAAGUAAAGCAGAUAUAGGUAAAACUAAAGUUUUAAAUGAUAAUAAUAUAAACGUAUUAAAUUCCGAUGGUAAUAAUAGUAAAUGUAUAGGUAAUAAUAAUAAUAAUAAUAAUAAGAGUAUUAAUCGAGGUAGUAAUAAUAAUAAUAAUCGUAGAGGUGGUGGUACUAGUAAUAAUAUUAAUAACGAUAGUAGUAGUAAUAAAAACAAUAGUGGUAGUAAUAAUAGUAGUGGUAGUAAUAAUAAUAGUUGUAGUAAUAAUAAUAAUGGUAGUAAUAAUAAUUUAAAUAGAAUGAGUUCUAAUAAUAAUAAUAAUAAUAAUAACAACACUCCUAUACAUUUAUUGAAUAUGAAUCCAUUUUAUUACAUGCACACUAUAAACCGAAAUAGUACUAUGGCAAAUAUGACAAAUGCAGAAAGAAAGGGUUUGAAUACUACAUUUAACACUUUAAGUAAUAAUACACCAUCAUCUAUAGGUAAUAAUAAUAAUAAUAAUAGUGGUAUAUCAAAAAGCAUACAUAAUCAAAACAACCUAUUCAUACCUAACAAUAACAAUAAUGAUAAUGGUAAUAAUUCGAAUAGUACUACUAGUAGUACUACUACUAAUGGUUCUAAUAACAUCGGUAAUAAUUAUAUGAAUACGAAUCGUGAUAAUAGUACUAGUAGCAGAAACAACAAUCGUAACAAUAAAUAUAAUAUUGUUAAUAAUAGUAGACAUAGUGGUAAUCAUAAUAAUAAUAAUAAUAGUAGUAGUAGUAGUAAUAAUAAUAAUGACCAUCAGAUUACAAUGUUUAAUAACAAUAAUAGUGGUAGUAAUGUUAGUAUCCAUAUGCUAAACAAUAUAAACGGGAACUUAAAUAACAAUCAUUCUAAUAAUCAUAAUGUUGGUGAUGGUAGUAGAAAUAGUAGUAGCAGUAGUAGUAAUAAUAAUAACAAUCAUAAUAAUAAUAAUAAUAAUAAUAAUAAUGUAAAAUAUUUAAAUGAUUUAUUUUUAUAUACUAAUUUGAUGAAUCCAACAUCAAAUGGCCAUCUACAUAAUAAUAACAAUAGCAAUAAUGACAGUAAUCUAAAUUUUCAUAAUAGAAAUGGCAUUAAUAAUAGAAAUAAUGACAUAUUAUUAUUAGAAGAAAAUUUAGGGAUACAGAAUAAAGAAGUUGAGCAUAUAAUGAAUGCAUUAUUUAGACAAAAUUAUAAUAUAAAUAUGAAUUUACAAAACAUGAAUAAACAUAUUCUACGUGAUAUAGCUUCAUCUGCUAGUACUAACAAUAUGUUGGAUGGUAGUAAUAGUAAUAAUGGUCAUAGUGCUAGUGCAGCUUACAUGAGUAAUAACAACAGUAGUAAUACUAAUAGUAUGAAUUAUAGCAAUAGUAAUAACUGUUUAAUUAAUAACCCAACUUUAUCUAAUAGCAACCACAGGACAAGCAGUUGUAAUAACAACCACAAUAUGUUCCACAAUAAUAAUAAUAAUAAUAAUCAUGCCUGCAUUAGUGCUCAUGGUAGUAAUACGAACUGCAUGCGCCACCACCAUCAUCAUAGUACUAGUAAUACCAAUUAUAAUAAUAAUAAUAAUAAUAAUAGUAGUAGUAGUAGUAGUAGUAGUGGUGGUGGUGGUAAUAGUAACAACCAUAGCAGUAUAAACUGUUCAAACAAUAACAUUUGUACACGUAAUACUACUAUUACUACUAACGGUAGCACUAGUACUAACACGAAUGGUAACGCAAGUGCUAAUUCAAAUAAUGCCCAUUUUUUUUUAUCAAAAUCGAAUAAUGACAUUUUGGAUUAUAACCAUAAUAACAAUAAUAAUAACAAUAAUAAUAGCAAUAAUAAUAGUAAUAGUAAUAAUAGUAAUAAUAAUAAUAAUAAUAAUAGUAAUACUAAUAGUAAUAAUAAUAAUGACACAGUUUAUAACAACAUGGCUAUUUUACCUCACCAUUAUGAUGAUCAUCCUUAUGAUAUUUAUAGAAGUCACAUACAUGCACAUAUAUUAGACAUGGUACACCGAAUGAAUAACGAAUUAAAGAGUGGUAAUAGUAUUAGUAAUAAUAGUAAUAACUGUAACUAUAACAGUAAUAGUAAUAACAACAGUAAUAGUAGUAGUAAUAGUAAUAGCAAUAAAUAUCUAGAUUGUAUGAAUGAUGACCUAAAUGAUUUGAAUUUACACCUAAUGAAUAAUAAUUGGAUUAAUCAACUUAGACAUACACACAAUAUACGUAAUGGUUUUAAUGACAGUAAUAAUCUGUGCGAUUUUAGUGAUAAUCUUAUACCGCUAGAACAUAAUACAAAAGUAGUUUCAGACAUAACAAGAAGAAAAAAACAACUUGUAUAUACAAAUAACAAUGUUCGGAGUAAAAAAAGUGAAACACUAAAUGAAUACAAAGAAAAUAAUCAAGGUACUAAUAAUGGAAAUGCAACUAGUAACAGUAAUAUCAUAAACCGUACUAGUAGUAACAAUAGUAAAAACAGUAGUAAUAGUAACACGAAAAAAAAAACAAGGGCUACAUCUAGAAGUACCAUUGGUAAUACUGUUGUUAGUAAUGGCACGAAUAAUAAUGAUAGUAGUAGUAAUUAUAAUAGUGGUAAUAACAAUAGUGGUAAUAACAAUAGUGGUAAUAACAAUAGUGGUAAUAACAAUAGUGGUAAUAACAAUAGUGGUAAUAACAAUAGUGGUAAUAACAGUAGUGGUAAUAAUGAAAGUAACAAUACUGGCGAUAAUAGUAAAAGCAAUAACCAUACCCAAUGCAAUAACAUUCUAUGUGAUAACAGACCAGGUAUUGAUGUUAUGUGUUAUAAUAAAAACAUGGUUUUGAAUAAUUCACUAUGUAAAUGUUGUUCCCAUUUAAAAAAUAGUAAAAAUGAAUUUUGUAAUUAUUAUGAUUUUACAAAUAUACAAUCGCAACCAACUGACAACAAUACAUUUAAUUAUUUAAAUUGGAAUAAUAAUAAUCAAAGCAAUAUUCAAAAGAAUAUAGAUAAUAAUAAUGAAUCAUCACUAGAUAAACGAAACAAUAGAAACAAUAUAACUAAUAAUGAUUCUAUUAUUAAAAAAAGUAGUAAUAGUACCAACAAUAUGAAUACCACUUCGAAACACAAGAGAGUAGCAAGUGGUAAUUCCUUUAGCACAACAACUGAAACUCUUAUUCCUUCUGAUACUAAUACUAAUACUACUACUACUACUACUACUACUACUACUGCUGUUGCUGUUGCUGAUAAUACUGAUACUACUACAGAUAGUACUACUACCCUUACUGACACUGCUGAUACUUCUGAUGUUACAUUCUCGAGAUCUAAUAGUGGUAUUCUGAAUAAUGGAAAUAUAUAUAACCGAAGCAUUAGAGAACAUAAUUUUACAAGUCAUUGUAUUAUCACAAGCGAUAAUCAAAAUAAUUUAAUUCAAUGCACCGUUAAAAAAACAGCAACAAAUUUUAAUAUAAAUAAAAAAGGAGAUAUGAUGUCAGCAUCAGCGCAAUAUAGUAUUAAUACAAAUCUGGAGGAUAUUCGAAAACAAAUACCAUUUCAAAAUACACAUCAUAUUAACAUGAAAGAUUUACAACACAGUAGCAACUCUUUACACUUAUUAAAACAAAGUAGCAAUUUUACACUAAAAGGAAUUACAAACGGUAGUAACAUGAACAAUAAUAAUAAAUGUGGUAGCAAUAGUAAUACUGUUAGUAAUAGAAAUGGUAGUAACGGCAGUAAUAAUAGUUGUAGUUGUAGUUGUAGUAGUAAUAGUACAAGUAAAAGUAGAAGUAGAGGUAGCAGUAACAGCAGUAAUCACAUAAAAAAAAAAAAUUAUAAAGAAAACAAACAUACAGUACAUACAUUAUCAACAUCUCCUUACUUAUUAAACGCGCAACAACCAUUUUCAAAAAAAAAAUUUACCUAAAAAAAAAA
ensembl:lncRNA